CAAGGUGAGAGAUAAGGAGGGAGAGCACUGAAUGUCCUAGGGGGUAUUGCACCUACCGAAGACUAUCAAACUCCGAAUGCCGUCAUCUUAUACUUGGGCGUCAGACUGUGGGUGAUAAGAUUCAUAGUCGAAAGGGCAACAGCCCAGAUCGUCAGCUAAGGUCCCUAAAUGUAAGUUAAGUGGUAAAGGAUGUGGGAUUGCACAGACAACCAGGAUGUUGGCUUAG
rnacentral:rRNA from 1 species